rnacentral:rRNA from 1 species
GACGAACGCUGGCGGCGUGCAUAACACAUGCAAGUCAAGGGGGCCCGCAAGGGCAACCGGCGAACGGGUGCGUAACACGUGAGCAACCUACCUCUGUGUGGGGCAUAGCCGGCCUAACGGCCGGGUAAUUCCGCAUACGAUCUUCUUGGGACAUCCCCGGGAGAGGAAACGCUUCGGCGGCACGGAGAGGGGCUCGCGGCCUAUCAGCUAGUUGGUGAGGGUAAUGGCCCACCAAGGCAACGACGGGUAGCUGGUCUGAGAGGAUGGCCAGCCACAU